GGGGCGUUAGCUCAGCUGGUAGAGCGCCUGCAUGGCAUGUAGGAGGUCACCGGUUCGAUUCCGGUACGCUCCACCA
rnacentral:tRNA from 1 species